rnacentral:rRNA from 1 species
GACGAACGCUGGCGGCGUGCUUAACACAUGCAAGUCGAACGGAAAGGCCCUGCUUUUGUGGGGUGCUCGAGUGGCGAACGGGUGAGUAACACGUGAGUAACCUGCCCUUGACUUUGGGAUAACUUCAGGAAACUGGGGCUAAUACCGGAUAGGAGCUCCUGCUGCAUGGUGGGGGUUGGAAAGUUUCGGCGGUUGGGGAUGGACUCGCGGCUUAUCAGCUUGUUGGUGGGGUAGUGGCUUACCAAGGCUUUGACGGGUAGCCGGCCUGAGAGGGUGACCGGCCACAGUGGGACUGAGAUACGGCCCAGACUCGUACGGGAGGCAGCAGUGGGGAGUAUUGCACAAUGGGCGGAAGCCUGAUGCAGCAACGCCGCGUGCGGGAUGACGGCCUUCGGGUUGUAAACCGCUUUCGCCUGUGACGAAGCGUGAGUGACGGUAAUGGGUAAAGAAGCACCGGCUAACUACGUG